rnacentral:piRNA from 1 species
UCUCAAAAGGAAGAAAAUUGUACAGGGAGA